AUGGAAGGGAGGGAUAGAGGACACAGGACAGAGGGAGAGGUGAGGGUGGAAGGGAGGAUAGAGGACACAGGACAGAGGGAGAGGUGAGGGUGGAAGGGAGGAUAGAGGACACAGGACAGAGGGAGAGGUGAGGGUGGAAGGGAGGAUAGAGGACACAGGACAGAGGGAGAGGUGAUGGUGAAAUGGAGGAAGGGUUGGAGGACAGAGGGAGAUGUGAUGGUGAAAUGGAGGAAGGGUUGGAGGACAGAGGACAGAGAGAGUAGUGAGGGUGAAAUGGAGGAAGGGUUGGAGGACAGAGAGAGUAGUGAUGGUGAAAUGGAGUAAGGGUUGGAGGACAGAGGACAGAGAGAGUAGUGAGGUGAAGGGGAAGGAGGGAUACAAGACACAGGGAGAGGUGAGGGUGGAAGGGAGGGAUAGAGGACACAGGACAGAGGGAGAGGUGAGGGUGGAAGGGAUGAUAGAGGACACAGGACAGAGGGAGAGGUGAGGGUGGAAGGGAGGAUAGAGGACACAGGACAGAGGGAGAGGUGAGGAUGGAAGGGAGGGAUAGAGGACACAGGACAGAGGGAGAGGUGAGGGUGGAAGGGAGGAUAGAGGACACAGGACAGAGGGAGAGGUGAGGAUGGAAGGGAGGGAUAGAGGACACAGGACAGAGGGAGAGGUGAGGGUGGAAGGGAGGAUAGAGGACACAGGACAGAGGGAGAGGUGAGGGUGGAAGGGAGGAUAGAGGACACAGGACAGAGGGAGAGGUGAGGGUGGAAGGGAGGAUAGAGGACACAGGACAGAGGGAGAGGUGAGGAUGGAAGGGAGGGAUAGAGGACACAGGACAGAGGGAGAGGUGAGGGUGGAAGGGAGGAUAGAGGACACAGGACAGAGGGAGAGGUGAGGGUGGAAGGGAGGAUAGAGGACACAGGACAGAGGGAGAGGGGAGGGGGGAAG